rnacentral:rRNA from 1 species
AUUGAACGCUGGCGGCAGGCCUAACACAUGCAAGUCGAACGGUAACAGGAAGAAGCUUGCUUCUUUGCUGACGAGUGGCGGACGGGUGAGUAAUGUCUGGGAAACUGCCUGAUGGAGGGGGAUAACUACUGGAAACGGUAGCUAAUACCGCAUAACGUCGCAAGACCAAAGAGGGGGACCUUCGGGCCUCUUGCCAUCGGAUGUGCCCAGAUGGGAUUAGCUAGUAGGUGGGGUAACGGCUCACCUAGGCGACGAUCCCUAGCUGGUCUGAGAGGAUGACCAGCCACACUGGAACUGAGACACGGUCCAGACUCCUACGGGAGGCAGCAGUGGGGAAUAUUGCACAAUGGGCGCAAGCCUGAUGCAGCCAUGCCGCGUGUAUGAAGAAGGCCUUCGGGUUGUAAAGUACUUUCAGCGGGGAGGAAGAGAGUAAAGUUAAUACCUUGGCUCAUUGACGUUACCCGCAGAAGAAGCACCGGCUAACUCCGUG